rnacentral:rRNA from 1 species
UACGUAGGGCGCAAGCGUUGUCCGGAAUUAUUGGGCGUAAAGAGCUCGUAGGCGGCUUGUCACGUCGGGUGUGAAAGCCCGGGGCUUAACCCCGGGUCUGCAUUCGAUACGGGCUAGCUAGAGUGUGGUAGGGGAGAUCGGAAUUCCUGGUGUAGCGGUGAAAUGCGCAGAUAUCAGGAGGAACACCGGUGGCGAAGGCGGAUCUCUGGGCCAUUACCGACGCUGAGGAGCGAAAGCGUGGGGAGCGAACAGG